AUUUAAAGAAACGACAAAAUGAUCACUGUCAGCAGACAGUGGACUUGAAUUUUUAAGACAAAUAUAAUACAUAAUCAAUUUAUAUUCUUGGAUUCUACCAUUUAAAUAACAAAUACGUGUAGUAGAAUUUAAUUCAUCAUUCAUCUGUACGCUUUGAUCAAAUUUAAAUAUCUACUAUUACUCCUAAGCUGGCUAAACUUAUGGACGCUAAUGUACAUACCUGUAAUCAAAUAGUAUCGAGCAACACUUACACGAAAAAUCGCAUCAUAAAUAUAUAAACGCACGUCGUCGGCGUAAUGUUACGAUAAUUGCAAUUUUGUGUCAAUGCUAUCAGCAGUAUCGACUCAUAGUCACGAGUAAACUUUCAUCAUACAUUGUUUCAAGAGUUGGUUCGAUUGAAUCAUCGUGACCACUGCUAACCUGUGAAAUUUUGCCACGUUCCGACUGUAUGCAUAAAUGGACUUGUGAUUCGCAAGGCGAACAACUUAAAGAUUUAAACGACUGCUAGAAAAUUUGAAUAUCAUUGAGAAUGAUUGCGCGGCAUCAGCUACUGGAAUUGCAGUUUUGGAAACAUUACUUUCGAGCUUCUUCUUUUUGAAGAUUACUAACUAAUCUUGGAACCAUAAUCUUAUGAAUAAAGAUUGCAAGAGAGACCUUUUUCUUACCUGAAAAAAGAAGUUUGUUGCUAUAACAAUUUUAGAACCUAGGAAAAGAAUAAUGCCUAAUUAGGAUGUUUAAAAAAUAUAUAAUGGUGAACACUUAAUAAUUGAAAUUGCUUUCAUUUUCCAAAAGCAAAAGAGUUUCUUAACAAAAUCACAGAGGUCUUAAUGUAUAUAGUAAUUAUCCAUUUGUUAUCAGAAUUCACAUUACGUUUGGUAUUGUUACAGAUUAAGAUUACUUCGUCUUCCGAGUAUUAGCGCGAUAUCCUGAAGCCAGCUGCAAUACUGGCAAGACGUCGGAAACCUUCUUCCUCUGGACUGUCUGUCCAGGAAGCUUCAAACUGUCUUAGCUAAAGUAAUAUUAAAUAUAACAGUGCCAAGUGAUAAUAUAGACCAUCAAGACUCUCAUUUGUUACUGUUCAUUGUUUCACUAUUUCAAAAAUGAAGCUUCGAACGAAACAGCAUUAAAUAAAUGAUCUUUACUGAAACCUUUUCAAUUCUUACACUUGUACGAUUUCUUCAUAUAAAGUCACUCGUUUUUACUUAUACGAGUCGCUGAUGGAAUCUCACUCCUCGUCUUUAUAUUUUUUAGGAAACACUGUUCCAUCUUGAUUGAAUAUUUUUAUAUUGAAUAUUAUUAUA